CCUAGUAAGCGUGAGUCAUCAGCUCGCGUUGAUUACGUCCCUGCCCUUUGUACACACCGCCCGUCGCUACUACCGAUUGAAUGGCUUAGUGAGACCCUCGGAUUGCGGAUCGUUCGUUGGCAACAACACACGUUUUACGAGAAGUUGGUCAAACUUGGUCAUUUAGAGGAAGUAAAAGUCGUAACAAGGUUUCCGUAGGUGAACCUGCGGAAGGAUCAUUAAAAAAAGGGUCGAAAGACCUAUUUCUACUGAAACUCUACUAUCUUUUUUAGAUGGUAGUGUUUCUUUAAAAUCCAAUAAACAUAUCGUCUUUAGACGAACCAAAAAUAAAAUUCUAAAAACUUUCAACAAUGGAUCUCUUGGCUCUCGCAUCGAUGAAGAACGCAGCGAAUUGCGAUAAGUAGUGUGAAUUGCAAAUUCUGUGAAUCAUCGAAUCUUUGAACGCAUAUUGCGCUCUCUGGUAUUCCGGAGAGCAUGCCUGUUUGAGGGUAAUAAAAAGAAUCUUUGAUCUUUUAUAGGUCAAGGGAAAAUGGGCAUUCCGCAUUUUAGCGGUAGCCUGAAAUCUAUGGUUUGUCUCAUCUAUUCGAGAUGCGUAAUAAUAUUAUUUCGUAAAAUCUUUGAUAUGACGAGCUACCAAGUCUUGACGUGUACGCUUUAUUGUUGUAUGCGAUUAAUACAAAUGUUUUUGACAUUACCUCAAAUCAGGUAGGAAUACCCGCUGAACUUAAGCAUAUCAAUAAGCGGAGGAAAAGAAACUAACCAGGAUUCCCCUAGUAACGGCGAGUGAAGCGGGAAUAGCUCAAAUUUUGAAUCGAACUUUGUGUUCGAGUUGUAAUUUGAAGAGGCGUUUUCACGUCGUUCGUCCAAGUCUAAGUUCCUUGGAAUAGGACAUCAGAGAGGGUGAGAAUCCCGUCUGUGAUUUGGUCGAUGGCUGUACGUUACGUCUUCUAAGAGUCGAGUUGUUUGGGAUUGCAGCUCAAAAUGGGUGGUAAAUUCCAUCUAAGGCUAAAUAUUGGCGAGAGACCGAUAGCGAACAAGUACCGUGAGGGAAAGAUGAAAAGAACUUUGAAAAGAGAGUUAAAUAGUAUGUGAAAUUGUUGAAAGGGAAACGAUUGAAGCCAGUCAUGCCGGUGGGAAAUCAGCUCAUAGGCUACUAUGGGUGCACUUUCUCGCAAGGCAGGUUAACAUCGGUUUCAGUUGCGUUAUAAUGAUGGUGGGAAGGUAGCUCUCUCGUGAGUGUUAUAGCCCGCUAUAGAUGGCGUGACAGGGAUCGAGGAUUGCAGCGAAUGCCUUUAGGCUACAUGUCUGGUCUCUGUACAGGUCUCAUCUCGUACGUCAGCACGCUGACGGCAAGUUGGCACUCGACAAUAGGUGCAGAACUCGAUAAAUUCGCUAAGGAUGUUGACGUAAUGGCUUUAAACGACCCGUCUUGAACACGGACCAAGGAG
rnacentral:rRNA from 1 species